rnacentral:ncRNA from 1 species
AUAAAUUAAAGGCAAACUAUGCGGGAGCAUAGGACGCAAAGCCACGGGUCUGAACAUUAAAAGAUAGCCGGGUUGCAUGU